rnacentral:lncRNA from 1 species
AAUGUUGUAUUUUUUAAUCUUAUGGUUUGAAAUAUUCUUUUUCUUAUAAAUUACAGCUUGGAUAGAGAACCUGAAUAAUACUGACUUCUCUAAGUCUACAGUUUUACAAAGUGUUCUCUAUCAAGUUCAUAUUCCAAACAAGAGGACAAAGCCAAAGUGGUCGAAUUGCUGUGUUUACGUUGCUAGCAAGAAGUGAAGCCAUAACUGAAUUGGAGUCUUCUCUCUUCUCAUCUCCCAUGGAUGUAUCCUUACCCAGUGUUCUCCGAAGUGGACAUAACCACAUCUCACACAGUAUCUGGACUGUAUCAAGAACCAGCGUUGAGCAGGUGGGAAUGGGAUGAAGUUCUUGCUUUCUUCAGUGUAGUAAAAGAACUCACCAGAAAGUCUGUAUUCACCUUUGUGCAAAAAGAGAAAAAGAAUAAUGGUAGUAAAUGUGGGGCAACAGCCCAAGGACUAGAGGGACAGGAAAAGUCAACAGCACCUCAAAUGGAAAAUGUGGGGACUCAUCCACAAGUGUCUUUUGGGCAAGUGUUUUGACUUAGGACUACACACGUUUCCCCAAACACUCAUCAAAAAAGGUAAAGCAGUGGUUUUGUGACUGUAACCUCAAGAGCUGGUUUGUUUUAUCAUUUUUUUCAUCAAUUUUAUUGAUCUUAGUUCAGCCGGAGAAAAAUCUUCGACUCUAACCUACAUAUGGAUGGGACAGGAAAUUUCCAUGAAGGUGGUAAUUCAAAUGUAUGCUCUCACAUCAGCUUUUUGUUCUACAAGAACUAAUUGCCUACGAGAGGGAACGCUUCUUCAUUAAGUCAUUCAAGUUGUCUCUAUGGCCUUUGGGCUUCUGCAUUGUAGAAGGGAAAGCUCUUUUAUUUUUUUCUACAUAUCAAUGGACGGUUUAAAUCAAAACUUGAGAGAUUGUUCUGUAAAAUUUAUAAACACUUAUUAAUUAUAUAUAAUGUCAUAUGUCUGCUAUACUUCCUCAUUAAAAUAUUGUAGUGGGAUCUGGGAUUUAAAAUUGAUGCCUUCUCCCCUCAUGUUCCUGCCUUGCUGAGCCGCAGUGACUUUUUAGCUAUGACUAGUUUCCCAUCAGUGCGACAACACGACUGUGCUUUCUUCCUUCCCCUCCCCCUUCAUUGCAGGUAUAGUUUUCCCCCUUUUGACCACAUGAAUUUUAUCUUUCCCUCUUAAGGGUGGGACUUAACCUAUAAAUUCUGGAUGGUGAGGCAACCUUGCUGACCUUGGCAUGGUGACUGUUUAAGGAUUGCCCUGCCUAGCAGAAGCUGGACUGGUGCGGUUAAGCGUCUGCCUUUGGCUCAGGGCGUGAUCCCGGAGUUCUGGGAUCGAGCCCCACAUCGGGCUCCUCCGCUGUGAGCCUGCUUCUUCCUCUCCCACUCCCCCUGCUUG